CCGACGAUAUCUCAGUUGGUAGAGCGGUGGACUGUAGAUCCAUAGGUCGGUGGUUCAAAUCCGCCUCGUCGGA
rnacentral:tRNA from 1 species